AGCUAACUUGCCCAGACUGGGCUCAAACUUACAAUCCUCCCGCCUCAGCUUCCUAGAGCAUUGGGAUCACAGAAUGCACCAGUGUGUUCACCCCUUUGGGGACAUUUCAUACCCAAACUACAGCAGUUUAAUUACCAGAAACUUCACAGAAAGAAAGUCUCUUCUCAGCAUUUCGCGCUGGUCCCUUCUGUCUCUGGAGUGGAGUCUGGUUCUGUUCUGUGUGACGGUGCUUCCUGUAUUAAAGCAGCUCCCAGGCCCCACCUACCACCUCUCUUCCCUGGCCUAAGCAUGGCCACAGCCUUCAGCAGUGACUUGCGUGACAUUUUGAGCCCUGCUUCUUGCUCCUUACACACAAAGAGAGCCGAGGUCUGCACAUCAGAGCCCCAGCGGAAGCUCAGACCUCAAAGGCGACCCAUUUUCCUCCCACCCCUGCCUGCAGUUGAGGCAGGGGGCCUGGUUUGAGUGUCUGGCCUUGAACGUCAGCCUGGGAGGCACCACUGCCCCCAGGGCUCUCGCUUGCCUGUUGCUUAAUCUGCCCGUGAAGUCAGUCAUCGGAGGCACCUGCUGCCAGCUGGGCAAACAGCUCUGGGCCAGAGCAGAGCGCCAUCAGCCUUCGCAGCCCCACAUUGCCCGGUUUCUCCGUGUCACAGUGGCCGCAGGACGUGACAUCCUGGCUGAGCCAGAUGAGUGAGACAGCGCAGCUGACUUCAGCAGUGCCCGCGCUCCUCCGAAAGCCGUGAGUCACCGCGCUCUGCAAGCUGCAGCAUGUAACAGACCCAUGCAGGUCAAAAUCAACCCUGCGUCUUCACUGUGACCACCCAUCCGGCCACAUUCACAGCCUCCCUCUAGGACAACCAGGCUCAGCCUUCUGGGACUUCAGUAAGGGCGCUGAACCAGGGCUGUGAGCAUCUCAGCAGCCCCUCUGCUGAGGACAGCAGGCUCAUGUCCAGGGCUCUUCGUCACCCUCAGCACGAACCACUGGCCCGGAGUUGCACUGCCCGGCCAUGCUGACCACCGCAGGAUCUACUCCACUGAGCAGCAAUGCUAACAGACAGUUUACCACCUGGCUGGGAACCAAACUCGUGAAAACAACUUCUCCAAAGCAGAUCGUGGUGCAUUGUGACAGAGGCCGUCCUUCAGUACUGAUCUAGAAAACAGACGAGCCCUCUUGGCCCAAGAAUGAGUCAGCCACCUUGAUUCCACAGCGCAACUGACUGUUCGAAGACACCCAGGGUCCCCCCAACGUCACCUCAGAUCUCUGAGAUGUGGAACAUGAGGAAGACUAGAAAGAUGGCCGCCUUGACCUCCUGAAAUUCCUCCUGAAGAUGAAGUGCCGAGCCCAGCAGUCCACAGGAGAGUUCAUAGACAGUUCCAUUACACACAGCAAGACCUCCAGAGGAUCAGAUGUUCACCCAUGGGAAGAUGUGGACCGGAUGGGCAGAUUCAGAUGCAACUCAUAUUCUCAUCGGCUUCGGUACUGGGGUCACGGAGGGUGAGGGACGGAGUUGCUCUGUGCUUACCAGGAGAUCUCACGUUUGGGCUUUCGUUUUGUGGGAUUUGUUGUUGUUUGUUUUUGCAAAACACAUGAAUGCAGUUGAUCCCCUUGAUGGAACUUUGGGAGCCUCAGAACCCCUCAGAGGAUGUGCUCCUGACGUCAUCUACGUGUCCCUCCUUGGUGACUGAGCCAGAACGGCUCUGUUCUCUCUUCCUGGCUCUUUGCCUUUUUACAAACCACUUUUAGGCUUUUCUAGUAUUCAAAACAUUAUACGGCAGUCAGUAAGAUGGAGGUCAGGAGUCAGCUCAGUAGUGAGGUCUAUAGCCCGUGAGGGCUCUGAGGUAACCGCACUGGCACAAGGGGAAGCCAGCACUACAGCUGAGGCAAAUUUAUCCUCUUUGGGCAUGAAAGGGGGCUAGCAAAUGUAUUGUUUUGAAAUUGAACAGAGAUUUUAAGUUUCAAAAAUUUCCAAAAAAUCUGCAGAUUUGGUUGAAGAUGUAUUGUCUAUCAAUCGAUUCAGAUUUUUUCCUUGGUCCCAUCUUUCUGUUGCCUGUCCUUUGGUUAUUGUUGUUACUUACUCUCUGGUAGAAGGAGGAUAGGUUCCCAGAGAGAAGGAAACAGAAAAAAAAUUAACUCUAUUUUCUUCCUAUGUUGGAAUCUGUUAGAUUUUCAUGGGAACAGGAGGCCAAGAGUCUGGGUAAAAGUUAUUUGGGAUAUAUACACUCAGGUGGAGUACACUGCAAUAGUUAGGGUUUAUAUUAGAAAGAUCUAGAUUUAAUUACAUAAUUGACAACAAAUUUUUAUGCCUCUGGGAAAAUUUACUAAACUUCUUUUCUUUAAUUUUCUCAUUUAUAAAAGGGGAAUACUGUUAGUUUCACAGGUAUGCUAGGGCACUCAGUUAAGUAAGUAUGAGAAGUCCUCGGUUAUGUUCCCAACAUACAGGAACAUUUAUUUAUUAUUCAUUAUUACUAUCAUUAUGUUCUUAGUGACUUUUCUCUAGCAAUCUGGCAUAUGUGGCUUAUUUUGCCUAUUCAGCUGGUAAACCGUUGUGUCAGAGUUCCAGACACUGUCAGGAUGUUUCUGAGAAUUUAGUUGACAAGUCCUUCCUUCCGUCCACCGUAUUGCUUUCUCUCUUCCAACAGUGCCUGCAUGCCUCCGCUGGUGAGUGCCUAUACAUGGCUAUGCUAUUCAGGUAGCAGCAUUUCCUGAGGGAGAUGAAAGCAGUUUUCUUUCAAAUGCAGAGGAGUUGAGCACACACAAAAAAUGUGUUUGUUUAUAUCUGAUCAUGGAGCUGCAAGUCUCCAAACUCACUAUUCAUGGAAAGCCAGAAAUUUGGGGAAGUUUGUCAUUUGUUUUUAAGAGUUCAUAUGGCAGCAUUCAGAAAAAAACAUAAAAGAGAACAUCUUGAAAUUUUUCCUCCAAAAUAUUUCAGACCCACUAGCCUUAUGUAUGGCUUACUGCAGUUGCAUUUUAAACAUCAAGAAUAAUAUAAUGCUUUAAAAAAUCGAAUGUGGCCAAUCCAUCCAGCAGUCAGUGCGGUGCUCUUCUGUCCGGGAAUGGCCUGGCCCCAGGGGGGUGGCCUGCCCUCGGCCUCACGAGAAGAAAUAACUACAAGCCACAAUGGGAGUGUGGCUAGCUUGGCUUUGGUCCCUCUCGGACUAGAAAGGUGCUAUUCUCGAACACUCCCAAUUUUGGUGUCAAAAGAGCUUUCUGAAAGUUUCAAGGGAGGAGUAGAAGACUUGAACUUCUCUUCCAAAGUGCACCAGAAUCAGCUCAGCUUGAGUACUGGCUUUAGCUGAGUUAAAAGUGCCAGGCCAACAAUAGUGACAUCAACUCAGCAACUGCAGCGAAGUGACACCUGUGUGUGCCUUCCUGUUGCGUCCUCACGGUGCCUCUCAGAGUCACAAGAACACCAGCAAACAUUGCUGAGUCCUUACCGCGUGCUAGAGUUCACACUGCCAGAUCAGCACUGGCGACAGCCUCCUGAGGUAGUACUGUCCGAUUUGAUGAUCUAAGUGAGGCGGGGAGGCUAAGUUAGUGGCCACACUGCAGAGACAGGGUUUGAACCGGGGCCUGCCUAGCCCCACUGGCUGUGCCUCUCAGCACUGAGGGAGGAGGCACCGGUGAGUGGGACCCCACCGCCCAGGCACAUGGUCCUUAGGAUAGUCAGGCCCCCGAGCCUGGAUUUCUCAGUCCCUGGCUGGCACCUUCCUGUUAUAUUGGGCUAAAAGCACUCUAUAUUUUGGAUUAUUAAACUUUACGGAGCUCAUAAAACCACCACAGUUAGCCUGGCCUGCAGCUGGGAGUCAUUAGGACAGUAAGUGCCCGAGUCAGUGCACCUGUGCAGCAGGACGGGGUUGUUCAGAUGUUUUACGGGGCAAAAAUACUUUCUUUGAUUCUGUUUGCUGUUUACUGUUUAAAAUUCCUGAAUGUAGAGAAGUUAUGUGUUAAGUUGCCCACUUUUGCUUAGUGGAGAUACAGUUUCUGUCUGGCAGGCUAAAAAUCAACUCCAAAGUGCAGAGUUCAUCUCCCCAGAAGACGUUAAUCAGUUUGUGCUGUCAGGUUAUGCUCACAUUCCUUUUGUAAAUUACCUGGAAAUAUGAAUUUCUCCGAACUGGUCUGAAGGGAACGGUCUGGGUAAGGCCUCUGACAUCUGAUGAAGGGGCCACACAGUUACCUCUUUGAAACCUGUCCCUGAGCCCCAUCCGUGCCUGUGGGCCCCAGAGUAUGGACGGUUUAACCAACCUAGAAAACGCGGGCAGCAGAAUCGGCCGCCCCGCCCUCAUCGCCCUGGGUGACACAGUGCUGGGCACACUCAGUGCGCAUUGAGAGCAUAUGUUUCCCGAUCGCCUCUGUGCCCUCUGCCUUGAACACAAGGCUCAGCUGUGGGUCCUCGGGACAGGCUCUGAGCCGCUGCAGUGAGGGAGUUUCUUAGACCCCGGGACACCCCGGAGCCACGGCGAGGCCCUGGGUGCUGUCCUUCAGGGUCAGGCCUGAGGAGUCUGCCCUCGGAAGGGGCGCGUUGGGUUGGGUUCGCGGGCCUGGCUGCACGUUAGAUAUCACCGGGAAUGAAAACACGAAACCCUUCAGGAGCUCGAUUUAAUCAAGUGUGCUGGCCUGGCGUCAGCAUGCUUUGGAAAGUGUCCUGGGGAUUGUCAUGGGCCGCUGGCUAGCACUGUCCCUAAGGCAGCCCAGGGGACUCCCUGGCCGCUCCUCCUCUUCCUCCUCAAGCUUGGGUAACUUGAGCCGAGUUCAGAGGGCCUGGGCUGUUUUCCGGUGGAGCGCCAGCCCCGUUGGGUUGGUUGUCUUCGCGGUGGGCGCUGGAGGAGCUCCGGAGCCCAGGGAACGCCGGCUCCUCCCAGGUUCGCAUCCUAUGGGCCGUCUCUCUGCCGCCCGCGCUGGCCGCCCGCUCCGCGGUGCGACCCUUCCCCCUUCCUUCUCCCCUUCAAAUUCCGAGUUCCUGGAGGCCACUGCAAUGUCUCAGAGAUGGAAGACCAGCUUUGACAGGCUGUCGGCAGGUUGGAAACUGCAGCUUGUAGCAGUGUCCCGGCCGCUCUCCCUUUUCUCAGGCUCUCUGCUGUCCGCCGGCGGGCAGGCUUCGGGCGGGCGAGGAGCGGGCAGGGGCCAAAGGGCAGCCUCGGGGCCUCGCAGCCCACCUCCCGGGCCUCUGCAGUUCUCCUCCUCGUCUCCUCCUCCACCUGCCAGCCCAGUCCUUCC